GACGAACGCUGGCGGCGUGCUUAACACAUGCAAGUCGAACGGAAAGGCCCUGCUUUUGUGGGGUGCUCGAGUGGCGAACGGGUGAGUAACACGUGAGUAACCUGCCCUUGACUUUGGGAUAACUUCAGGAAACUGGGGCUAAUACCGGAUAGGAGCUCCUGCUGCAUGGUGGGGGUUGGAAAGUUUCGGCUGUUGGGGUUGGACUCGCGGCUUAUCAGCUUGUUGGUGGGGUAGUGGCUUACCAAGGCUUUGACGGGUAGCCGGCCUGAGAGGGUGACCGGCCACAUUGGGACUGAGAUAGGGACCAGACUCCUACGGGAGGCAGCAGUGGGGAAUAUUGCACAAUGGGCGGAAGCCUGAUGAAGCAACGCCGCGUGCGGGAUGACGGCCUUCGGGUUGUAAACCGCUUUCGCCUGUGACGAAGCGUGAGUGACGGUAAUGGGUAAAGAAGCACCGGCUAACUACGUG
rnacentral:rRNA from 1 species